GCACCUGUAGCUCAACAGGUUAGAGCGCAGGCCUCCGGAGCCUGAGGUUGGGGGUUCGACUCCCCCCAGGUGCACCA
rnacentral:tRNA from 1 species